UGACAUUACCGAUAGAAAAAGCACCGGCUAACUCCGUGCCAGCAGCCGCGGUAAUACGGAGGGUGCAAGCGUUAAUCGGAAUUACUGGGCGUAAAGCGUGCGUAGGCGGCUGUUUAAGUCAGAUGUGAAAGCCCCGGGCUUAACCUGGGAACUGCAUUUGAUACUGGGCAGCUAGAGUUGAGUAGAGGAGAGGGGAAUUUCAGGUGUAGCGGUGAAAUGCGUAGAGAUCUGAACGAACACCAGUGGCGAAGGCGCCUCUCUGGACUCAAACUGACGCUGAGGUACGAAAGCGUGGGUAGCAAACAGGAUUAGAUACCCUGGUAGUCCACGCCGUAAACGAUGUCAACUAGCCGUUGGUCUUAUUCGUAAGAUUAGUGGCGUAGCUAACGCGAUAAGUUGACCGCCUGGGGAGUACGGCCGCAAGGUUAAAACUCAAAUGAAUUGACGG
rnacentral:rRNA from 1 species